rnacentral:pre_miRNA from 1 species
AGUGGAAUUGCUGGGUGAUAUGGUUUUUUGAUGGUAGUACAAUGUUUAACUUUUUGAGGAACUGCCAAACUGUUUUCCACAGUGGCUGUACCAUUUUGCAUUCCCACCAGCAAU